rnacentral:rRNA from 1 species
UCAUUUCAUUGCAGAUCCAUUUUCUGCCACCGAAUACAUUAGCAUGGGAUAAUGGAAUAGGACCCUGUCCUCCUAUUUUCAGUUGGUUUUGGCAGCGCGAGGACUAGGGUAAUGAUUAAUAGGGAUAGUUGGGGGCAUUAAUAUUUAAUUGUCAGAGGUGAAAUUCUUGGAUUUAUGAAAGAUUAACUUCUGCGAAAGCAUCUGCCAAGGAUGUUUUCAUUAAUCAAGAACGAAAGUUAGGGGAUCGAAGACGAUCAGAUACCGUCGUAGUCUUAACCAUAAACGAUGCCGACCAGCGAUUAGGAGACGUUGAAUACAAAACACCACCAUCGGUUGCGGUCGUCCUUGGCGUCUCGGUUUCGGCCGGGGCGCGGGGACGGUUUAGCCCGGUGGCACCGGUGAAUGACUCCCUAGCACUU